rnacentral:rRNA from 1 species
AAUCAACGCUGGCGGCGUGCCUAACACAUGCAAGUCGAGCGCGAAAGGGGAGCAAUCCCCAAGUAGAGCGGCGAACGGGUGAGUAACGCGUGGGUAAUCUGCCUCCGAGUGGGGAACAACAUCGGGAAACUGGUGCUAAUACCGCAUAACAUCGUCGGGUUUUCGGAUCUGACGAUCAAAGCCGGGGACCGCAAGGCCUGGCGCUUGGAGAGGAGCCCGCGUCCGAUUAGCUAGNGGUGGGGUAAUGGCCCACCAAGGCUUCGAUCGGUAGCUGGUCUGAGAGGAUGACCAGCCACACUGGGACUGAGACACGGCCCAGACUCCUACGGGAGGCAGCAGUGGGGAAUAUUGGACAAUGGGCGCAAGCCUGAUCCAGCCAUGCCGCGUGAGUGAUGAAGGCCUU